rnacentral:snRNA from 1 species
GGGCAGGAGGGUGAUCGCUCACCAGAAUGAUUGGCUGGGUUGACUUGGCUCAUCUGGCUGGCUCAGUGGGUGUCCCCUUCCUUUGUCACCACUCCACCUGUGCUUGGAAGGAUGGACUUCCCUGAAAGAUAAAGGAGAUAGAGGAGGGUCAUUUCUUAGUCAAAGGCACAUGAGAAGCUGUGCUCCCCUGCUGUUGAAAGAACUCCAAAGGGUCUUUCAAGGUUCGUUUGUAGGAGGAUGUAGAUGAGGCUUCUAAGAAGGCUUUAAAUAAGGUGCUGCAUGUGGCAAGCUGCCUUUCUU